rnacentral:misc_RNA from 1 species
GCUUGGAGCAAGAGAAUCCUCAUGCGGGGAGCACAAUUUGCCUAACGAGGUUGUAGAUGGCCCAAAGGUAUCCCUUGGGCUGCUGCUCCUCCGGCAGCCUCAACAUGCUCGCCACCUUGUCGAACUGCGCCUGCCCGAGGGCAGCGUCCGCCGGCGACGGCUCCUCCGAGGAUCGCGCCUCGGGUGUCCUGAGAUCCCUGUGGAGCUCGGGUGGCGACAGCGCCCACUGCAUCGCCCAGAUGCCGAGCGGCCGCAUGUAGUGCAGCGACCGAUAGCCGCCGUCCUCCGUCCAAGCCUCGGGCGUCUGGAACGCGUACCCGAAGCCGUCGUUGCCCCAGGCGGCGUCGUGGGCGCCCUUGGCCGUCCGGAACGCGGCCUCCGUCAUGCCCUCGUGGACCAUGGCCGCCGCAACGGCGUACGUGACCCCGGGCCACACCUCCUUGGACUGCGUGGACGAUGCGUCGACGGCGCCGUCGGGGCGCAUCCCGUUCACGGCCCCGAUGGCGCCGCCCUUGACCCGCAUGACGUUGUAGUCCAGCACGGUCGCCAGCGCGCUCCGUGCCUUGGCGUCCUCCACCACCGGCUCCAGCCCGCACGCCCGCGCGUACCACUGCCCCGCCAGUUGGUCCGCCAUGAUGGACUCGCUGGCGCCGCCGCCGCCGCUGUUGUCGUAGCGGAAGUAGGCGCCGGUCCAGAGCUCGGCAUCGUACACGCGCGCCGCCCUGUCCCGCCUCGCGCGGAAGUAGGCCUCGGCGGGGCGGUCCCCGACGACGCGCGCCAUGCCCGCCGCCGCCUGCAGCGCCGCCACCCAGACCCCGCCCGUGUAGGCGCUGACACCGGAGACCGACCACAUGUCGUACGUCUGGUCGGGCACCCCCUCGUUCUCCACCAUCCCGUCGCCGUCGCGGUCGAACUGGUCCAUGUACGCCAUGGCCACGUACACGGCGGGCCACACCGCCUCCGCGAACGCGGCGUCGCCCGUGGCCACGGCGUCGCGGUACACCUGCAGGACGAACUUGGGGUUGAGGUCCUUCCACCGCGCCGCGUCGUGCAGCAUGUACGCGUUCAGCUCCACCCAUGGGUCGUUGAGCCCGACGUCGUGCGGCACGGCGCCCAGCACCUUGCGCGCCACGGUCCUGCCGUCCAGGGUGCGCCGGGGGCGAGGGUCGUGGAGGAGCACGGCGCGCGCGAAGUCCCGCUG